rnacentral:rRNA from 1 species
GACGAACGCUGGCGGCGUGCUUAACACAUGCAAGUCGAACGGAAAGGCCCUGCUUUUGUGGGGUGCUCGAGUGGCGAACGGGUGAGUAACACGUGAGUAACCUGCCCUUGACUUUGGGAUAACUUCAGGAAACUGGGGCUAAUACCGGAUAGGAGCUCCUGCUGCAUGGUGGGGGUUGGAAAGUUUCGGCGGUUGUGGAUGGACUCGCGGCUUAUCAGCUUGUUGGUGGGGUAGUGGCUUACCAAGGCUUUGACGGGUAGCCGGCCUGAGAGGGUGACCGGCCACAUUGGGACUGCGAUACGGCCCAGACUCCUACGGGAGGCAGCAGUGGGGAAUAUUGCACAAUGGGCGGAAGCCUGAUGCAGCAACGCCGCGUGCGGGAUGACGGCCUUCGGGUUGUAAACCGCUUUCGACUGUGACGAAGCGUGAGUGACGGUAAUGGGUAAAGAAGCACCGGCUAACUACGUG